rnacentral:rRNA from 1 species
GUUAAAGACGAUGACGUUGAUAGGCCGGGUGUGUAAGCGCAGCGAUGCGUUGAGCUAACCGGUACUAAUGAACCGUGAGGCUUAACCUUACAACGCCGAAG